UAAUUUAUACCUUACAAAAAAAGUGGGAAUAUAAGAAACUUCACCUGCACUGUCCAGUACCCAGGUAUUUAUUUCACAGUCACUCUGGUGGAAUUUUUGGCUAAAAAGUUACUGAAUCAAUUUAAAGUUACUGAAUCGUUUCGGAUCGUAUCCUUCUAAAUGAACCAAUAUCGUCCUUGAAUCCUAUCGCAACCACGAAUCAUGAUACAAAUCAAAUCGUUAUUAAAAUGAAUCGUUACACCCCUAAUAUGAAUAGAUAACAUUGCUUGCUUUUCCUGGUCAUGUCAUGUUUGUUGCUAGGCAUAAUUUCUGGGUCUGACACAGUACUUUGUGCCACCAGCAAGCACAAUUUAAAAAAAAUAAUAAUCCAGUCAAGCUCAAUACGCUGACUAUCAAUAUUUCUUGACAACUUGGUUGCAAAGGGCUUAACUGACAAUGGACAGGGAGCGUCGGCAGUACAAACUCAGACACACACUGAGGAAAUUACUAGCAUCAUCACAAUGUAUGCCCAUUAAUUUUACAAUGGAUUUAUAACUUCAGAUUUUCUUAAACCGCAGCGUCGUCUUCUAGCGACAAAUAACAGACUUCAGACUUCAUCCAAAUGAAUUGUGUAGUGUAGUGUGGUGUCAUGCGUACUUACAGCAUGUAGGUGAUGACACCGAGGCUCCACAUGUCUGUGUUAAACGACACAAAGUCGUAGUUGAUCACUUCAGGGGCCAGAAAUUCCGGUGUUCCAAAAUUGACUCGGAGCUUCUCCCUCGGUUUGUAUCUAGUCGAGAGCACAAUGAUUAGAUUAGAAUUGUCAUUUAUAAAUAUCAGCAAUAUUGCAGUGCUGAUAUAAACACUCACAUCCUGGCGAGGCCAAAGUCGAUGAUCUUGAUUUUAUUUGUGACUCUGCUUACACAUAGGAUGUUUUCCGGCUGCAAUUCAAGAAUGGCCACUUCAGAGUUUAAUUGAUGAUAAAAUACUGUGUGUGUGUGUGUGUGUGUGCGUGCAUUGUUUAAAUUACCUUUAAGUCCAAAUGUAGGAUGUACAUUUUGUGCAUGUGCUGCAGACCCUCACAGAUCUGCCUGAUGAACACCACAGCAUCCAGCUCCAUUAAAGUGUAGUUUUCAUCAAUGAUUCUGUUAAAAAGCUCGCCUCCACCAACACUGUAUGACAAACAAAGCAUCAAGAUCUUAGAGCACAGACUGCAAAAGAUGUGCAUUCAGGAUCAUUAAAAAAAAUAUAAUGAUAAUUUAUAUUAUAACAUUAGUAGUUAAUUUGGUCUCAAAAUAAUGUUGACAUAAUAUUGUUUAUAUAAUAAUUAGGGCUGUCAAAUUAUUACAAUUUUUAAAUAGGCGCAAAUGCGCCUUUGUGAAAAGUUAAGCGUGAAGCUACUUAAAAUGAAACAAAUUUACCAGAGCAGGUUUGAGAAGAGGAAACGGCGAGAGCACACCCAAAAAUAUAUUGCCUCAUUGUGUGACGGUACGGUGUCGGUAGAAAAAAUGUCAACGUGCCGGCGCCUAACUCCCGCAGACUGUGAGCCGAGUUCCAGUCUGCUACUGGAUGCUGAGUUUGAUGCUGCGACUGCGAUGACAUAAGUCAUCUUUGCAAACAAUUGAUUUCUCCCCAUUUCCAUGCCUUCCUCCUGACACUGUAUAUAGUUAUGACUGUUGGGAUAUAUUGCUUAGUAAUUGCUUUUGUUACAUUGUAAUUGUUCAUCUUCACCCUCAAUACAUACACAGUCUCAUUCUCUUUCUCUCCGAAACACACACACAUGAAUGCACACAUCUGUUGUGAUGAUGUCUGGGUUGUUUUUGUUCAAAAAUAAAUUCACCCCGUGUUAAUUUAUUGCAGGGGUGGCCAUUACGUCGAUUGCGAGCUACCGGUAGAUCGCCAAGGCAGUUUGGGUUGAUCGCGUAAACGUCACUUUGUAGUUGUCAUAUGACAUCAGUCAGCUGACAUUAAGCUCCCCUCCUGAUUCGCGCUUGCUCCCCCGCAGCGUUUCAAGCUACACACGAAGAUGCAACUUUCAUCUUUAUUAUUGUGAUUAUGGAUGAACUAACUCAGCGCUUCCUCCACCACCACGAGUUCCUCAGCGAUGCCGAGCUCCACUAUCUGGUCCAGAUCAGCUUCUGAAGAUGGCGAGGCCACUUCGCAGUUGCCACUAUCACUAAAAAAUGAAGCUCUGAACUCUCUGUUGCAUCUUCAGUUGUGGACUCCUCCUCUUCUACCUGGUGGACUUCUUCCUCUACAUCUUCAACAUCAAGUGUGAGCUCUUCCUCAGCAACAUCUCCAUCAGGAACCUUGUCCCCAUCCUCUUCUGCACCAUCCGCCUCCUGUUGG